rnacentral:rRNA from 1 species
UUGCUACUUGGAUACCUGUGGUAAUUCUAGAGCUAAUACAUGCUAAAAACCUCGACUUCGGAAGGGGUGUAUUUAUUAGAUAAAAAACCAAUGCCCUUCGGGGCUCCUGGGUGAUUCAUAAUAACUUAACGAAUCGCAUGGCCUUGCGCCGGCGAUGGUUCAUUCAAAUUUCUGCCCUAUCAACUUUCGAUGGUAGGAUAGUGGCCUACCAUGGUUUCUACGGGUAACGGGAUAUUAGGGUAUGAUUCCGGAGAGGGAGCCUGAGAAACGGCUACCACAUCCAAGGAAGGCAGCAGGCGCGCAAAUUACCCAAUCCCGACACGGGGAGGUAGCGACAAGGAAUACUGAUGCAGAGCUCCUUUGGGUUUUGCAAUUGGAAUGAGUACAAUUUAAACCCCUUAACGAGGAACAAUUGGAGGGCAAGUCUGGUGCCAGCAGCCGCGGUAAUUCCAGCUCCAAUAGCGUAUAUUAAAGUUGUUGCAGUUAAAAAGCUCGUAGUUAAAACUUGGGCCUGGCUGGCCGGUCCGCCUCACCGCGUGCACUGGUCCGGCCGGGCCUUUCCUUCUGGGGAGCCGCAUGCCCUUCAUUGGGUGUGCCGGGGAACCAGGACUUUUACUUUGAAAAAAUUAGAGUGUUCAAAGCAGGCCUAUGCUCGAAUACAUUAGCAUGGAAUAAUAGAAUAGGACGUGUGGUUCUAUUUUGUUGGUUUCUAGGACCGCCGUAAUGAUUAAUAGGGAUAGUUGGGGUUAUCAGUAUUCAAUUGUCAGAGGUGAAAUUCUUGGAUUUAUUGAAGACUAACUACUGCGAAAGCAUUUAACAAAGAUGUUUUCAUUAAUCAGUGAACGAAAGUUAGGGGAUCGAAGACGAUCAGGGGGUGCACGCGCCCGGGGGAACCCCCCCCCGGGGCGGUAUUUGGUCGUCCACAGCAAAACUAGUCUACGGGUCCCCGACGGGACCCUAGGCAACACUGUCAAACUGUAGGGUUCCCUCCCGGGGGUAACCUACAGCCAAGCUCGCAAGAGUGCAGUCUACAGACUGAAUGCCGGUGGGCGGGCCGCGGGCCCGUUUCUGAUAUAGUCGAGUCUCAUGGGCCAGUUCCAGGCAGUACCACGCAGAUACCGUCGUAGUCUUAACCAUAAACUAUGCCGACUAGGGAUCGGACGGCGUUA